GUCCACGCCCUAAACGAUGUUUACUUGCUGUUGGGGGCAACCUUAGUAGCGAAGCUAACGCGAGAAGUAAACCGCCUGGGGAGUACGGUCGCAAGAUUAAAACUCAAAGGAAUUGACGGGGACCCGCACAAGCGGUGGAUGAUGUGGAUUAAUUCGAUGCAACGCGAAAAACCUUACCUGCUCUUGACAUGCUAGGAAGUCGCAAGAGAUUGUGAUGUGCCUUCGGGAACCUAGACACAGGUGCUGCAUGGCUGUCGU
rnacentral:rRNA from 1 species